rnacentral:misc_RNA from 1 species
UGCUGAUUUGCAAAAUGCACAAGUUGGAAUUGAUGAUGGCCAGUACUUGAUUUCUGUUGGGAGAAUUUUAUCUUCUAGGGGAGUUAGAGCUAGUUAUUCUUUUUCAUUUCUUGAGGUGGUUGUGAGUUGUGAGGUUGCGGGUGAUGAAUCUAAGCGUUCCAUUGAGGACAUUGAUAGUGCAGGAAAGAAAACCAUUUAUUUGCAUCUCAAGCAAUUUUUCCGCGGCACUCGUUUCACUAGUCAACCUUUUCUCAAAAUUCUUCAAAACAAGCAUAAACCAGGAG